rnacentral:rRNA from 1 species
UACGUAGGGGGCAAGCGUUGUCCGGAUUCAUUGGGCGUAAAGAGCGUGUAGGCGGCCAGGUAGGUCGGUUGUGAAAACUGGAGGCUCAACCUUCAGACGUCGACCGAAACCAUCUGGCUAGAGUCCGGGAGAGGAGAGUGGAAUUCCUGGUGUAGCGGUGAAAUGCGCAGAUAUCAGGAAGAACACCCGUGGCGAAAGCGGCUCGCUGGGACGGUACUGACGCUGAGACGCGAAAGCGUGGGGAGCGAACAGG